rnacentral:rRNA from 1 species
GAGUUUGAUCAUGGCUCAGGAUGAACGCUAGCGGUGUGCCUAAUGCAUGCAAGUCGAACGGGAACCUUUGGAUUCGUCUGAAGGGGAGAGUGGCGGACGGGUGAGUAACACGUAGAUGACCUGCCCUGGAGAGGGGGACAACCAUUGGAAACGAUGGCUAAUACCCCAGAUGAUAAAGUGUUUAGAAAACUUUGUCUAAAGCUUCGGUGCUCCGGGAGGGAUCUGCGGCCCAUCAGCUUGUUGGUAAGGUAAUGGCUUACCAAGGCUAAGACGGGUAGGGGGCGUGAGAGCGUGACCCCCCACACUGGUACUGAGACACGGACCAGAUACCUGCGGGUAGCAGCAGCAAGGAAUAUUGCGCAAUGGGCGAAAGCCUGACGCAGCAACACCGCGUGGAGGAUGAAGGCCUUCGGGUUGUAAACUCCUUUUCUAGGGGAAGAGAAAGGACGGUACCCUAGGAAUAAGUCUCGGCUAACUACGUGCCAGCAGCCGCGGUAAAACGUAGGAGGCGAGCGUUAUCCGGAUUUACUGGGCGUAAAGCGCAUGUAGGCGGUUUUCUAAGUCGGACGUGAAAGCUCCUGGCCCAACUGGGAGAGGCCGUUCGAAACUAGGAAACUUGAGGAUGGUAGAGGAGAGUGGAGUUCCCGGUGUAGUGGUGAAAUGCGUAGAUAUCGGGAGGAACACCAGUGGCGAAAGCGGCUCUCUGGGCCAUUCCUGACGCUCAGAUGCGAAAAGCUAGGGGAGAGAACGGGAUUAGAAAACCCCGGUAUUCCUAGCCGUUAAACGAUGUCAACUAGGCGUAGGAGGUUAUUGACCCCUUCUGUGCUGU